rnacentral:rRNA from 1 species
GACUUGUGUGCGCCGGAUGCGGCGAUCUGCGGCCAAAAGGUCGUUGCGAUCAGCCCGUCCUGGCGCCGUAAAAUUUGCAACUGAGUCGCCUCUGGUCUUAAUUGGUCGGUGGCGUCUGCUCGGUUGCUCGUUUACUGUGAGAAAAUUGGAGUGUUCAAGGCAGGCGUGGAUUGCAACUGAACAUGUUAGCAUGGAAUAAUAAGAUAAGGCUUUCGCGUUUAUUUUGUUGGUUUCUAGAUCGGAAGUAAUGAUUGAUAGGGACAGUUGGGGGUGCUAGUAUUCAGCGGCCAGAGGUGAAAUUCAUGGAUUCGCUGAAGACUAACUUAUGCGAAAGCAUU